CGGAGGUUGCCAAGCCAGGUCAAAGGCGCUGGGUUUAGGACCCGGGGAAAUCUCGUAGGAGUUCGCGAGUUCAAAUCUCGCCCUCCG
rnacentral:tRNA from 1 species